UUAUAACUCGAGUAGCUGGAGUGUUGGUUGUAGCUUGAGUGAUUGGGUUAGCUGCUGAUUUAUUAUUUUGUCUUUUUGCUUUUAUUUGCUGCUUUACAGUAUUUAGUAGUCUGUGAUAAGUAUAGGUUAGGGCUUCGCUUAUUGCAAUAAUUUUUUUCUCUUUAGAGUAAUUAUGAUUUUUUUAGGUAUUGUUUAGGUAAUAAAUUUUUUUUUUAGGUACUUCUCUACUUUAGCUGGAUUUUGAAUUUGUUUACGUGGAAAGUUUUAGAUUAUAAGGUUAGAAAAAUUUUUUAAGGUUUGGCUUAUAUACUUUUAAUAUAUAAGCUACUCAGGAUUUCUUACACUUGGGUUUACUUUUGGGUUGUGGGUUUUAUUAGUUGUUCUGGAUAUUUUAGUUUUUAUUUAGAGAAGUUUUAGGCUGCAUGGAGGAAGCUUUCUAGAUUAAGUACUAGGAAAGUGGUCUCUAACAUUUAGGGGAAACUGACCCUUUUUAAAAAGUGACAUAAUAGAUUUAAAGGAGAAGAAGAAAAGGAAAGGCUGAAAAGCUUCAUUUUUUGCUUUUCUUUCAACAAACUGGGUGCAAUUAUUAAUAAAACAUCUUAAAACACAUUAUUGGAAUUGGGACACAGGGUAGGAGAAAAAAAUUAUAAACUUAUCCUGAACAGACUCCAGUACUUUUGUAAACUAUAAAUUAUUUUCAGUGAUCUUAGUACAAUAGCUAUUUAAAUCUAUGCUUUUCUACUGUAAAAACUACGUGUUAGGGAUAAUAUAUGAGUUAUUUUUGGAUAAGAAAAUAAUUAAAGUGACUAGAAAUGUAUUAAAACAAAAAAAACCUUAGGGACUAGAAACACACAAAGAGACAUUAAGAAUUUAAAUAACUCUGAGAGACAGUAAGAAUUUAAGUAACAUGGUCACUGAUUGCAUUAUCUCAGUACAGAGUAAACAAAACUAAAAUGCAAUCAAUACAGUUUUUUUCUGCUUUCCUGAGCUAUGUGUUGGGCACCAAAAAUUAUAUUUGUUCUGGUUUAGGGUAAUUUUGGGAUAAAAACUUUGAAAGGGUUUCUUUUGAAAAGCAAAUUUUAGCAUCUCUUCCCUUAACUGAUUCAGGGAAAAAAAUCUUGUGAGAAAAGUGGAAAAAACUGCUUAUUUAACAGGCAAAGCAUUCACUUGCACAAAAAAUGAACAGUAUUAAACAAUAAAACCUCUUGUUGCUCUGAAAGAGAUGACAAACUCAACGUUUUUUUUGUGGGCUGUAGCUUGGUUUACUCCAUUUGUAAUGGAUUUCUUUGGUGCUGAAAAUGAUAUGGCUUAGGCUUGGCUUGGUGGGUUACAGGUGUGAGUUCUCAGUGGUUUUUUGGGUGUUUAGUUUAGAGCAGGUUUAAAGAAAAGGAAAAAAACGAAGUUCAGGGAAUUUUUGUACUUGCAUUAGCUAAAACUAAUAGCAAAGGAGGGCUCUGUUUUGUUGUUUGUUUGUGUUGUAGACAACAUUUUUUUUUGCACUAGAAACGUGUAAGAGGGAGACAGUGCAGUUUUUUUUCCUGAAAACCAGCUCUUCUUGCCCUCUUAGUUCUCAGAACCAAUCUCAAAGGUGCAAAACUUAUUUCUGAGCUACAAAGACAAAUGUGCAUAAAGUCACUCCAGGACAGCAUCUUACCUAGUCUCCAGUUUAAACAGAUGAGAUGGAUUUUUUUUUUUUUUUUUCAAUAUUUAGCCCUUUUGGUGGAAUUGCUUUGGUCAUGAUCUGGAGUCAUGCAGUGAAGAGGAUACAAAAUCUCAUUUCCUGCUUAAGAAAGAAGAAACCUUGUGAAAGACUCAAAGGGAGGGAAGAAACGCUGUUUUGGGUUUUGGCCAGAGUGAUGGUUACUUUCUUGAAAUGGGCUAACCAUCCACAGCAAACUUUGUCAAGCUCCUCUGUUUUGAGUGCUUGUUUUGAGAAAGCUGAAGCUUGGUAUCAAAUAAUGUUGAACAUGUGCAACACUUUGCACUCCCAGCAGCAACUGGUGGAAUCAGGGUCUUUUCUCUGAACAUAUAAAAAGCCUUUUAUAAAACCCUUAGCUUUUGGAAAACUCAGAGCCUUAGACUUCCAAAAUUGGCAAACAAAAUUAGUUGACACUCUGAACAUUUUGGCUUUUAUCUUAAACAUUCAAUUCCCCUUGUGUAAAAUACUGAUAAAAAUAUCCUCCAACUUCAAAAGGAUGCUGAGAGGAUCUGUUCAUUAGUAUUUUCAAAGAAUUCAGAUGCUGUAGCGAAAUCACCAUACAAAAUCCCAUAAGGAAAUUAAUAAUUCUGCAUUCAUUGUAGGCUUUGGGUAUGGUAAGUCAAUAACACAUAAGAUUAUAUACUGCAUGAGAGGAGUAGCAAUAGAAUCUUUUUUUGUGGGAAGCGUUGCCCACUCUGUGUGCCAGGAGCAGCACAGAAAACAAUGUUGGGAAUGUGAGGAAAGGCUUCUGUGCUGCAAGAAUGGACAUCAGAGACAUUCAAAUGCACCCUUAAAAAUGGGAUUUUGAUUGGACAAUCAAAUAUUGUCGUAGUAUCAAAUUUAGCUAGUGCUGUUAAUAUGUGUUCAAAUAAAUGAGAUGUACUUGUUUAAUCAUCCACUGAGAGAAUCCUGUUAAUAAGGUUUAAAAGCAGUCCUACACUUUCUGAAGCUCACACAUAAGCACCUGUCAGAGAGCUUUACACAGCACACAGAUAUUGUAAGGAAUGAGGAUUUCUAGAAACAACUUGGGAAACGCAUUAUAAUUGUUGUCAUGAACCUGAGAAUUCCAUUAGAUCAGAUAAUCUGGGGAUUUACAGACUGGGCAACACCAAACUUCUUUGUUUCAUGGAGUAAAAAUGAAUAAGCCACUCAGAAUUGUUCCAACUAUUCAGAGCCUUAGGAGCUGCAAACAUUUAAGCAGAAGCUCCCAUCAACAAAAAAUGGAAUCAGAAGGGGCUGGUAGAAAUCUAGAAGUGGAUGGAACAUGACUUUAUUCAGCAUUUCUUCCAAAUGUGCACAUUUAAAGAGGGAAAAGUGCCAGAAAACAUUAAAAUGAGUGGGAACUGGUGAGUGUUACUGAUCCAUGUGGUCAGCACGUGCAGAGCUGUUAAGAAAGCAUAUUUACCAGUGGAAGAUCAGGUGAUUAAAUACUGCAGUCACUAGCCCAUCUGGGGACAUUCUGGGCUAUGCAUAGGUAAAGACAACACGGUAACUGACAAUCUAAAAUAAUCCAGCCAAACAAAUGAAAUAAACGAAUAACAAAAAAAAAAAAAAAAAAAAAAAA
ensembl:lncRNA